GACGAACGCUGGCGGCGUGCUUAACACAUGCAAGUCGAACGGUAAGGCCCUUCGGGGUACACGAGUGGCGAACGGGUGAGUAACACGUGGGUGAUCUGCCCUGCACUUCGGGAUAAGCCUGGGAAACUGGGUCUAAUACCGGAUAGGACCACUGCCUGCAUGGGUGGUGGUGGAAAGCUUUUGCGGUGUGGGAUGGGCCCGCGGCCUAUCAGCUUGUUGGUGGGGUGAUGGCCUACCAAGGCGACGACGGGUAGCCGGCCUGAGAGGGUGACCGGCCACACUGGGACUGAGAUACGGCCCAGACUCCUACGGGGGGUAGAGGUGGGGAAUAUUGCACAAUGGGCGCAAGCCUGAUGCAGCGACGCCGCGUGAGGGAUGACGGCCUUCGGGUUGUAAACCUCUUUCAGCACCGACGAAGCGCAAGUGACGGUAGGUGCAGAAGAAGGACCGGCCAACUACGUGCCAGCCGCCGCCGUAA
rnacentral:rRNA from 1 species